AUAUAGGUCAUAUCUAAAGGUACUGUACUACUGUACCCAGGCAGGGACAAGGUUACACUGGGAUGUUGUGAUAUAUAGGUCAUAUCUACAGGUACUGUACUACUGUAUCCAGGCAGGGACAAGGUUACACUGGGAUGUUGUGAUAUAUAGGUCAUAUCUACAGGUACUGUACUACUGUAUCCAGGCAGGGACAAGGUUACACUGGGAUGUUGUGAUAUAUAGGUCAUAUCUAAAGGUACUGUACUACUGUCUCCAGGCAGGACAAGGUUACACUGGGAUGUUGUGAUAUAUAGGUCAUAUCUAAAGGUACUGUACUACUGUAUCCAGGCAGGGACAAGGUUACACUGGGAUGUUGUGAUAUAUAGGUCAUAUCUAAAGGUACUGUACUACUGUAUCCAGGCAGGGACAAGGUUACACUGGGAUGUUGUGAUAUAUAGGUCAUAUCUAAAGGUACUGUACUACUGUAUCCAGGCAGGGACAAGGUUACACUGGGAUGUUGUGAUAUAUAGGUCAUAUCUAAAGGUACUGUACUACUGUAUCCAGGCAGGGACAAGGUUACACUGGGAUGUUGUGAUAUAUAGGUCAUA